GACGAACGCUGGCGGCGGGCUUAACACAUGCAAGUCGAACGGAAAGGCCCUGCUUUUGUGGGGUGCUCGAGUGGCGAACGGGUGAGUAACACGUGAGUAACCUGCCCUUGACUUUGGGAUAACUUCAGGAAACUGGGGCUAAUACCGGAUAGGAGCUCCUGCUGCAUGGUGGGGGUUGGAAAGUUUCGGCGGUUGGGGAUGGACUCGCGGCUUAUCAGCUUGUUGGUGGGGUAGUGGCUUACCAAGGCUUUGACGGGUAGCCGGCCUGAGAGGGUGACCGGCCACAUUGGGACUGAGGUACGGCCCAGACUCCUACGGGAGGCAGCAGUGGGGAAUAUUGCACAAAGGGCGGAAGCCUGAUGCAGCAACGCCGCGUGCGGGAUGACGGCCUUCGGGUUGUAAACCGCUUUCGCCUGUGACGAAGCGUGAGUGACGGUAAUGGGUAAAGAAGCACCGGCUAACUACGUG
rnacentral:rRNA from 1 species